UUCUAUUUAGAGGAAUUUGCUCCGUUAUCGAUAAUCCUCGUUUUAUCUUGCUUUAUUUGGUUAAGUAUGUAUAUCGCUGUUAUGAGUUUAUUUUUUGAAAAUUAAAAUUUACUUUAUUUUUUAUUAGAAAAUAUUUCAAGUCAAGGUGCAGCUUAUAAUAAAGUGUGUAGUGAAUUACAAUAUUAUUUUAAUAUACGGACUUUUUUUUUAAAAUUUUUAAUGAAGGUGGAUUUAAUAGUAAUUUUGAUAAUAGUAUUAAUUUGAUUUUAGUUCUGAAAUAAGUACACAUCGCCCGUCGCUCUA
rnacentral:rRNA from 1 species